rnacentral:rRNA from 1 species
AUACGGAGGAUGCAAGCGUUAUCCGGAUUUAUUGGGUUUAAAGGGUGCGUAGGCGGAUGAUUAAGCGUGAGGUGAAAUGCCACUGCUCAACAGUGGAACUGCCUCGCGAACUGGUUGUCUUGAAUGCUCCUGCCGUGGGAGGAAUGUGUGGUGUAGCGGUGAAAUGCAUAGAGAUUACACAGAACACCGAUUGCGAAGGCAUCUCACGAAGGGUUGAUUGACGCUGAGGCACGAAAGCGUGGGGAUCAAACAGGAUUAGAUACCCUGGUAGUCCACGCAGUAAACGAUGAUGGCUAACCGCUGGGCUUAUCAGCUCAGUGGCCAAGCGAAAGCGAUAAGCCAUCCACCUGGGGAGUACGACCGCAAGGUUGAAACUCAAAGGAAUUGACGGGG